rnacentral:tRNA from 1 species
GCUGGGGUAGCAUAGCUUGGCUAAUGCGCUGGACUCAUGAUCCAGGAGCGUGGGUUCAAAUCCCAUCCCCAGCA